rnacentral:rRNA from 1 species
UACGGAGGGUGCAAGCGUUAUCCGGAUUCACUGGGUUUAAAGGGUGCGUAGGAGGGCAGGUAAGUCCGUGGUGAAAUCCUAGAGCUUAACUCUAGAACUGCCGUGGAUACUACCGGUCUUGAAUUCUGUGGAGGUGAGCGGAAUAUGUCAUGUAGCGGUGAAAUGCUUAGAUAUGACAUAGAACACCAAUUGCGAAGGCAGCUCACUACGCAGCGAUUGACUCUGAGGCACGAAAGCGUGGGGAUCAAACAGG